rnacentral:rRNA from 1 species
CUGGCUCAGGAUAAACGCUGGCGGCGUGCUUAGCACAUGCAAGUCGAACGGAGUACUCUCCCGAGACCGAGGAAGCUGCUCAAGAAUCAUUGAAGUACUUAGUGGCGGACGGGUGAGUAACGCGUGGGUAACCUGCCUCACACAGGGGGAUAACAGUUGGAAACGACUGUUAAUACCGCAUAAGCGCACAGUAUCGCAUGGUACAGUGUGAAAAACUCCGGUGGUGUGAGAUGGACCCGCGUCUGAUUAGCUAGUUGGUGAGGUAACGGCCCACCAAGGCGACGAUCAGUAGCCGGCCUGAGAGGGUGUACGGCCACAUUGGGACUGAGACACGGCCCAAACUCCUACGGGAGGCAGCAGUGGGGAAUAUUGCACAAUGGGGGAAACCCUGAUGCAGCGACGCCCGCGCGAGUGAUGAAGUAUCUCGGUAUGUAAAGCCCUAUCAGCAGGGAAGAUAAUGACGGUACCUGACUAAGAAGCACCGGCUAAAUACGUGCCAGCCGCUGC